rnacentral:rRNA from 1 species
CACGUAGGGUGCGAGCGUUGUCCGGAAUUAUUGGGCGUAAAGAGCUCGUAUGCGGUGUGUCGCGUCGGCCGUGAAAACCUGCAGCUUAACUGUGGGCUUGCGGUCGAUACGGGCAUCACUGGAGUUCGGCAGGGGAGACUGGAAUUCCUGGUGUAGCGGUGAAAUGCGCAGAUAUCAGGAGGAACACCGGUGGCGAAGGCGGGUCUCUGGGCCGAUACUGACGCUGAGGAGCGAAAGCGUGGGGAGCGAACAGG